rnacentral:lncRNA from 1 species
GAACAUACUAUACAAUAUAAUCAUGUUUCAGAGUAGGACUGUAGGAGUUAGCAAAUCCUAGUUGGUGUAAUACAUGAUAUUUAAUACCUUUAUUUUUUAUCCUCUUAUGUUAUUAUGUUUGCAGUUUGUUUCUCUUGCCCUCUUUGACAUACUUUUCAAAUUCAAAUCCUACUUAUUUGUUUAUUUCACAGUAUUUAGGUACCUUUUUUUGGUGUAAACAGUUACUGCCUUGCUGGUUUUUAU